GACGAACGCUGGCGGCGCGCCUAACACAUGCAAGUCGAACGGAGCUGAGAGAAGCUUGCUUUUCUUAGCUUAGUGGCGAACGGGUGAGUAACGCGUGAGUAACCUGCCCUGGAGUGGGGGACAACAGUUGGAAACGACUGCUAAUACCGCAUAAGCCCACGAUCCGGCAUCGGAUUGAGGGAAAAGGAUUUAUUCGCUUCAGGAUGGACUCGCGUCCAAUUAGCUAGUUGGUGAGGAAACGGCCCACCAAGGCGACGAUUGGUAGCCGGACUGAGAGGUUGAGCGGCCACAUUGGGACUGAGACACGGCCCAGACUCCUACGGGAGGCAGCAGUGGGGGAUAUUGCACAAUGGGGGAAACCCUGAUGCAGCGACGCCGCGUGGAGGAAGAAGGUUUUCGGAUUGUAAACUCCUGUCGUUAGGGACGAUAAUGACGGUACCUAACAAGAAAGCACCGGCUAACUACGUG
rnacentral:rRNA from 1 species